CAAAAUGGAAAAUUAACAAAAACGAAUUACUGUAUAUAAUAUUAUAUGAUAAAAUUUAAAAUUAGACAAACUUUUGAAUUGGUACUAAUAAAUGACCCAAUGGAGCUACAUUCAUAACAAGGCUCUUCAGUGUAAUCCCCGUAUUAUUGACGAAGUCUUAAUAGUUGUCGCAGUAAUGUGUUGCAUAAACUUGUUGAAACAAUAUACGUUGGUUUAGUUAGCUUAAUAGCCUGAUGCAGGAGGUGGUGGUGACUUAUAGAUAUAUGGUGGUGGAGGGGGAGAUUUGUGGACAUAUGAAGGAGACUUGUACACGUAUGGUGGAGGAGGUGAGGGGGAUGGAGGUGGUGGGGACUUGUAAACGUAAGGAGGGGGAGGUGAUGGAGAUGGAGGAGGAGGAGAUUUGUAGACAUAUGUAGGAGACUUGUACAAAUAUGGUGGAGGAGGUGAGGGCGAUGGAGGUGGUGGGGACUUGUAGACAUAAGGAGGGGGAGGUGAUGGAGAUGGUGGAGGGGGAGCUUUGUAGACAUAUUCAGAANNNNN
rnacentral:lncRNA from 1 species